UAGGGAAUCUUCCACAAUGGGCGAAAGCCUGAUGGAGCAACGCCGCGUGUAUGAUGAAGGGUUUCGGCUCGUAAACACUGUUGUAAGAGAAGAAUGACAUUGAGAGUAACUGUUCAAUGUGUGACGGUAUCUUACCAGAAAGGAACGGCUAAAUACGUGCCAC
rnacentral:rRNA from 1 species